rnacentral:lncRNA from 1 species
UGCCAGCGUAGGGGGGUGGGUAGUGAGAGAAAUGUCAUUGCCACUUGGCCUCAUACCCAGGCAACAGAGAGAGGAACGGUCAGCACUACAUGUCAGUAGAAAUGGAAGUUGCGUGAAAAAUUUAGGCAGAUAAUUCCCUAGACAGCGAGGGGGAUGGACACUUUGUAUGUGUGAUUCAUUGUGGGCAACAGGGCAAGCAGAUGAGGCAGAAUUAACAAGAGGGGACUUUUAUUUAUCAUGUGUCCAGCCAAGUCAAAGGAUCAGUAACAGGUUGCCUCUUCACAUGCUGCCCAGAGGAACAGAACUGACUGGAUGGGCCAUGCUUGGACUGAGUUCACAGCGUUUCUAGGACCCUUUCUUCCCCUUCCACUCAGCAUCACACCUGUGCCCGCCUCUUGCUAUGGGCAACUACGGCUCUGCUCUUACUGCUGAUAUCGAAGAUUUUAAAGCCAUCGUAUCCCACCCUGGAAGGCCGACCUUCUCAUCAGAUCCCAGGAGACCCGGGCCAGUUCGCAGGUCUCAGUCUGAGAUCCUCCUAUCAUCCUCCCAGUUCCCGUUCUCUGACCCCUUCGCUCCGGUAACCCCCGGCGAUGAGUCAGAGAAACCUGAGCACGAGGAGACGGACGUACCAGACCUGCUGCACCUCAAGUUCCUCAGAGCGGUGGACUCCCCACUCGCUGAUGUCAGCACCAGCCCUCCCUCCACGUCUGCCCCUCCGACACCCUCUCCCACAGUGGGAAACACCAGUGGCAGUGGCAGUGCCAGUGCCAGUGCCACCCCCUCACCGCCCUCCUCGCCCUCGCCCCCCUCCCUGUUCUCUGGGGCGCUCUCAGCCGUGCUGCACCAUCCGGGGGCAACUCUGAAGGUGACCCCCUCAGGCUCCCCUGCCCUGGAUCAGCUGAGGCUUCAGCUCAGAGAGAUGAGAGAUGAGCUGGAGCUGCUCAAGAGUCAGCACAAAAAAGAGGUGAAGCUGUUGAUGAGUGAGCUGGACGAGGAGAAGAAGAUUCGCCUGUCUCUGCAGAUGGAGGUCGAGAAGAUCAAGAAGCAACUGUCUAAAUCUUCAUGA